rnacentral:rRNA from 1 species
UCAGGAUGAACGCUAGCGACAGGCUUAACACAUGCAAGUCGAGGGGCAGCACGGGAGUAGCAAUACGUUGGUGGCGACCGGCGCACGGGUGAGUAACGCGUAUGCAACCUACCUAUCAGAGGGGAAUAACCCGGCGAAAGUCGGACUAAUACCGCAUAAAACAGGGGCACCGCAUGGUGAUAUUUGUUAAAGAAAUUCGCUGAUAGAUGGGCAUGCGUUCCAUUAGGUAGUUGGUGAGGUAACGGCUCACCAAGCCGACGAUGGAUAGGGGAACUGAGAGGUUGGUCCCCCACACUGGUACUGAGACACGGACCAGACUCCUACGGGAGGCAGCAGUGAGGAAUAUUGGUCAAUGGGCGGGAGCCUGAACCAGCCAAGUCGCGUGAAAGGAAGAAGGAUCUAUGGUUCGUAAACUUCUUUUGCAGGGGAAUAAAGUGCAGGACGUGUCCUGUUUUGUAUGUACCCUGAGAAUAAGGAUCGGCUAACUCCGUGCCAGCCGCUGC